UUUUUUUUAUUAGUCGUAUCAAAAGAAGCCAAAAACAAAGACACCAAAGACAGCACAGGGGAAAUCUUCUGCAGUUCUUAAUGAAAUUAAGAAAUGAUAAAUGGAAAUAAAAGUGGAUGAAAAAAAAAAUUGUAGAAACGAUGGAACCCAGCCUUCAAAACGCAAACACCUUGAGAAGUAGACGGACACAUGCUGGGACUAGCAACAAGUUUAAUGAAAACAAUCACACAGAAGUUCGCAGGGAAGCCAGAGCGCAUGCGUUGUACAGACAUAGUGACUCUCAAAUAAAGAAUACAAAAUCACACCUAGUAACCACAUUUUUCUAAAUAAGCUACUUCUUUCUUUGACAGCGAUAACGAGGGUACACCAACACAUUGAUUGUGAUCAUGUUUUCGGUGCCUUGUGGCAACUUUUUUCACAUUGUGUAAAACCUUGUGGAUACACGGAAAAAAAAUUGACCGACGAUUACAAUACUAAACACGAAAUUUGAGCGUAGCCCUAUAUGUGUUUUCAUUUCGCAAUAUAUUGACUGGCGCGGACAAUCUGUCUCAUGCCGCAUGUAGCAAACAGAGAGAAGUGUGGCGCAACUGUCUUGCUAAUCUGGAGAUAGCAAGAGGCAGCGCAUGGGUGACAUGUGGCUGCGAUUCACAGCGGCCACCGCAGGCAGACCUCCACUCGUGCAGCACUUUGUUUUCAUAUAUGAUAUUCGUGGACGCGCUCGCCACAUGCCUUAUCGAUGGCAUCAUCAGUGAACAGACGACGCGGUUCUCAUGGUUU
rnacentral:lncRNA from 1 species